rnacentral:rRNA from 1 species
UAUCUCUGUAGAGUCUGCAUAUCAAUAAGCGGAGGAAAAGAAACUAACUAGGAUUCCCUCAGUAACGGCGAGUGAAGCGGGAAGAGCUCAAAUUUGAAAUCUUCAAGGUUUUACCUUGACGAAUUGUAGUUUAAAGAAGUGUUUUCUGUUGGAUGUUUGGUAAAAGUUCUUUGGAAAAAGACAUCAAAGAGGGUGAGAAUCCCGUAUUUGACCAUUAUUUCCAGCUUUGUGAUACACUUUCAAAGAGUCGGAUUGUUUGGGAAUGCAGUCCAAAAUGGGUGGUAAAUUUCAUCUAAAGCUAAAUAUUGGCGAGAGACCGAUAGCGAACAAGUACCGUGAGGGAAAGAUGAAAAGAACUUUGAAAAGAGAGUUAAACAGUACGUGAAAUUGUCAAAAGGGAAGCGUUUGACACCAGUGUUGUUUUCUCGAAAAUCAAUUAAAAAGUAGUUGGAUUUUGUAUUGUUAAGACCUUAUCAGCUUACUGUACUUUUUUCCUGCUCUUUUUAAUGCACUUUUCGUUUAACAAGUCAACAUCAAUUUCUUUUGUUGUAAAAGGGUCAUUGGAAGGUGGCUUUCUUUUCGGAGAAAGUGUUUAUAGCCUUUGACUUCUGCAAUCGGAGAGAUUGAGGUCUGCAGCGUAGAUCCUUCGGGGUUAGAUGCAUUUGUGCUAAGUUAUAGCCUUUCAUAGACAACUUGUUGACUAUGAUCAGUCAUGUAGCUUACUCGCUUAUGUUAUUUUACCUACGCUUAGGAUGUUGAUCUCUCACAGUCGAGC